CCGCAGAGUUAAAACCUUCAUCAAAUGAGCGCGACGGAGGGGAAUACGAGCAGCCCUGCGACUGUCCAGGGUGUAUCCUGCCUCUUGCCCUAAGACAGCUGGGAUAGGUGGAAGAGAAUGGAAGAGAAUGGAUGGAUGGAUGGUUUAUGUAUUACGAUGCAGCUCACAUACAUCAUGCAUUCAAUACCAUUGUAUCCGCAAUCCUGAGGGACAAGCAGGAGUACACAGGUGUCGACCAACACCACGUGGAUCCUGGACUACCUGGCAAGGUAGUCCAUACUGCCAUCAGUAUGUAAGGAUCUUCUACAGGUGCCCCACGGGGAACAGUUCUAUUCUAUUCUCCUUAUACACCACAAGACUUCACCUACAACUCUGAUCACUGCUUCCUGCAAAAGUUCUCAGAUGACUCAGCAGUUGUUGGUCUCAUUGCCGAUAACAGGGAGUACAGAGAAAUUACUUUGUUGACGGGUACCAGCGGAACCGCCUACAGAUCAGGUACGUCUGUACCUGAUCUGUAGGUACAGACGUACCUGAUCUGUACCUACACGACUUACACCCGUGAACAUCCAGGUAAUGGAUGCUGAGCGCAUCGACUUAUAUAAGUACCUAACACCCUAACUAGACUGGAUUAACAAUACAAAGGCCAUCUGCAGGAAAGGACAGAACAGGCUGUAUCUGCUAUGGAGACUCGGUUCUUUUGUAGAGCAGGGGCAUCUCUUGAGGACCUCCUAUGACUCUGUGGUUGCAUCGACCUCUGCACCUCUGCAGGGCAGCAGUAUCUGCUCUGGAGACAGGAAGAAAAUGAACUGGCUGAUCAAGAAGGCCAGCUCUGUUCUGGGAUGCUAGCGGAGGUGGUGGGUGACAGCAGAAUGGUGGCUAAGCUGUCAUCCCUGCUAGAGAACACCUCCCACCCCCAGGCAGGUCACCCUGACAGCACCGAGCAGCUCCUUCAGUGACAGGCUGCUGCACCCACGGUGUGCAAAGGAGAAAUAUCCGAGGUCUUCCUUUCCAGCUGCUGUCAGACUGUAUACGUGAAAAUGCACCACACACUGUACAUAUUUCAGUGUGGAUCUGAAAUGCCAAGUGUAUCACUGUAUCACAUCUACAUCUACAUAUCCAUAUAUUUAUAUGUAAAUAAUAUUUCUUCUGCCUUGUAUAGUGUACAUUUUUCUUCCGUUGUUGUUUCAUCUAUUUAUUCCUGGUCUCUUCGUUCUGCUGCUCUAGCAAUCUGAA